CCAAUAGCGUAUAUUAAAGUUGUUGCAGUUAAAAAGCUCGUAGUUGAACUUCGGGGUUUACUCAUUGGUCAGGCUUAAUUGUCUGUACUGGUGAGCUGAAUCUCUACCUUCUGAGGAACUUUCAUGCCAUUUAUUUGGUGUGAUGGGAAAUCAGGACUGUUACUUUGAAAAAAUUAGAGUGUUUAAAGCAGGCUAACGUCUGAAUACAUUAGCAUGGAAUAAUGAAAUAGGACGGACUGAUUCUAUUUCGUUGGUUUCUAGGAUCACCGUAAUGAUUAAUAGGGAUAGUUGGGGGCAUUAGUAUUCAAUUGUCAGAGGUGAAAUUCUUGGAUUUAUUGAAGACUAACUACUGCGAAAGCAUUUGCCAAGGAUGUUUUCAUUAAUCAAGAACGAAAGUUAGGGGAUCGAAGACGAUCAGAUACCGUCGUAGUCUUAACCAUAAACUAUGCCGACUAGGGAUCGGAUGAUGUUAAUUUUUUAAUGACUCAUUCGGCGCCUUACG
rnacentral:rRNA from 1 species